rnacentral:tRNA from 1 species
GCUACCUUAGUACAGUCAAGAUACUGCAGCUAUUUAAUCUUCAUUGAGCAGGCA